UGGGGAAUUUUGCACAAUGGGGGAAACCCUGAUGCAGCGACGCCGCGUGAUUUAGAAGGCCUUCGGGUUGUAAAAAUCUUUUGUAUGGGAAGAAAAUGACAGUACCAUACGAAUAAGGACCGGCUAAUUACGUGCCAGCAGCCGCGGUAAUACGUAAGGUCCGAGCGUUGUCCGGAAUCAUUGGGCGUAAAGGGUACGUAGGCGGAUAAGCAAGUUAGAAGUGAAAUCCUAUAGCUCAACUAUAGUAAGCUUUUAAAACUGCUCAUCUUCAGGUAUGGAAGGGAAAGUGGAAUUCCUAGUGUAGCGGUGAAAUGCGCAGAUAUUAGGAGGAAUACCGGUGGCGAAGGCGACUUUCUGGCCAUAAACUAACGCUGAGGUACGAAAGCGUGGGUAGCAAACAGG
rnacentral:rRNA from 1 species